UACGUAGGGUGCGAGCGUUAAUCGGAAUUACUGGGCGUAAAGCGCACGUAGGCGGCUCUUUAAGUCGGAGGUGAAAUCCUGGAGCUCAACUCCAGAACUGCCUUCGAUACUGAAGAGCUCGAGUCCGGGAGAGGUGAGUGGAACUGCGAGUGUAGAGGUGAAAUUCGUAGAUAUUCGCAAGAACACCAGUGGCGAAGGCGGCUCACUGGCCCGGUACUGACGCUGAGGUGCGAAAGCGUGGGGAGCAAACAGG
rnacentral:rRNA from 1 species